AGAGUUUGAUCCUGGCUCAGAACGAACGCUGGCGGCGUGGAUAAGACAUGCAAGUCGAACGAGACUUUUCGUUGUAGCAAUACGAUGGAAAGUUUAGUGGCGAACGGGUGCUUAACACGUGGGCAACCUGCCAUGAAGUGGGGGGAUAGCUCGCCGAAAGGCGAAUUAAUACCGCAUGUGAUUAGAGAGGACAUCCUUUCAAAAUUAAAGUCGGGGCAACCUGACGCUUCUUGUGGGGCCCGCGGCCUAUCAGCUAGUUGGUGAGGUAACGGCUCACCAAGGCUUUGACGGGUAGCUGGUCUGAGAGGACGACCAGCCACACUGGGACUGAGACACGGCCCAGACACCUACGGGUGGCAGCAGUCGAGAAUUUUUGACAAUGGGGGAAACCCUGAUCGAGCGACGCCGCGUGGAGGAUGAAGGUCUUCGGAUUGUAAACUCCUGUCAUUUGGGAACAAGGUGCACACGUUAACUGCGUGAGUAUUGAUAGUACCAGAAGAGGAAGAGACGGCUAACUCUGUGCCAGCAGCCGCGGUAAUACAGAGGUCUCAAGCGUUGUUCGGAUUCAUUGGGCGUAAAGGGUGCGUAGGCGGCGCGGUAAGUCGGGUGUGAAAUCUCGGAGCUUAACUCCGAAACUGCAUUCGAUACUGCCGUGCUUGAGGACUGGAGAGGAGACUGGAAUUUACGGUGUAGCGGUGAAAUGCGUAGAUAUCGUAAGGAAGACCAGUGGCGAAGGCGGGUCUCUGGACAGUUCCUGACGCUGAGGCACGAAGGUCAGGGGAGCAAACGGGAUUAGAUACCCUCGUAGUCC
rnacentral:rRNA from 1 species